rnacentral:rRNA from 1 species
UGGGGAAUUUUGCACAAUGGGGGAAACCCUGAUGCAGCGACGCCGCGUGAUUUAGAAGGCCUUCGGGUUGUAAAAAUCUUUUCUAUGGGAAGAAAAUGACAGUACCAUAGGAAUAAGGACCGGCUAAUUACGUGCCAGCAGCCGCGGUAAUACGUAAGGUCCGAGCGUUGUCCGGAAUCAUUGGGCGUAAAGGGUACGUAGGCGGGUAAGCAAGUUAGCAGUGAAAUCCUAUAGCUCAACUAUAGUAAGCUUUUAAAACUGCUCAUCUUGAGGUAUGGAAGGGAAAGUGGAAUUCCUAGUGUAGCGGUGAAAUGCGCAGAUAUUAGGAGGAAUAACGGUGGCGAAGGCGACUUUCUGGCCAUAACCUGACGCUGAGGUACGAAAGCGUGGGUAGCAAACAGG